rnacentral:lncRNA from 1 species
CUCUUUCUGCAUUUCAGAUAGCCGUAGGCGCUGCUGGGACUACAAACAGGACAGUGAAACUUCCUAAAAAUUUCACUUUUGUUGCUCCAGGUGGUGGCUAUACUUGUGGUCCUGCUAAAAUCAUCCGUCCCACUCGUUUCAUAACACCUGACGGUCGAAGAAUAACACAGGCUAUGAGUAAGUCUUUUAAACCAUACAUUGAAAGUAAAUACUGUUUUCAUAAGCCUGAAAUCUUUCUGCUUAAUAUGCAGUGACAUGGAGAGUGGUUUGCACUUACUCUCAGUUCAUAGCAUCCCCCAAACCGACAUGUUGUGUCUCCUUGUCUUCUUUUCACAAUGCAAGUGUCACCCCUUGUCCUUCGUGUUCUUGUGGCUGCCGUAAAAGUAGCAACUGUGUCAUGUAAGAUUAUAGCUAUAAAACCUUUGAACAAUUCUCCUUCAACAGAUCAUAACUGAGAAGUGUAAUCGCAGGAAAGGAGUAAAUAAGCCAGUGCUGCAAUGCACAAAACACAUGUGCCCUGUCAAC